GAUCCUGUGGCUUCUCUGGGCCAUGAUUUCUUCAUCUGUAAAAUAUGUAUCUUAGACAAGAUGGGAUCUGAGAUUCAUUCCAUCUUUAUAUCUUUUCUUUGAAGACCCCAUGAACCCGAGUGAACCGAAGUCGAGGGGAUGUGCUAUAAAGAAUGAUUAGGAUUUGGACAGGGAGAAAGGAAAGAGUUAAUCAAGCAUGAGGCAAUAAGCCAUCUGAGAGAAUGCUUUGGCAAGUGAGGCCAGGUCCAGGACCCUGUUCACUCCUCCUGAAGGCAUCCCUUUUCUUAGUACUUGAAGUUGAUGUGUCCCCUCACCUCCUCCCUCCCUCAUGCCUGGCCCAUUCUGGGAUAUUAGCAAGUAAUGAUGAUAAUGAUGAUGACGAUGAUGAUGAUGAUGAUGAUGAUGAUACAGCGGAGUGUUAUAGGAGGAACAGUUCUAAAUUUUGAGUCAAAGGAUUCAUUAUUGAAGAUUGGAUAUACUUCUUCAUUACUGGGGACUAACAGAAGAAGGUAAGUUGCACAGUAUACAGAUUAAAGACUGGAGUCAGGAAAAAAAACCAAACUUAUUUUAAAUUGAGCCUCAUACACUUACUAGUUGUAUGAUCCUAGAUGAUUCAGUUGAGUUCUGUUGGCCUCAGUUUCCUCACCUGAAAAUGGGGAUAAUCAUAGAACCUAUUUCCAGGGGUGCAAAUUAAACGAGGAGGGUAUCUCCUAU
rnacentral:lncRNA from 1 species